rnacentral:rRNA from 1 species
UACGAAGGGGGCUAGCGUUGCUCGGAAUCACUGGGCGUAAAGCGCACGUAGGCGGAUCUUCAAGUCAGGGGUGAAAUCCUGGAGCUCAACUCCAGAACUGCCUUUGAUACUGGGGAUCUCGAGUCCGGGAGAGGUGAGUGGAACUGCGAGUGUAGAGGUGAAAUUCGUAGAUAUUCGCAAGAACACCAGUGGCGAAGGCGGCUCACUGGCCCGGUACUGACGCUGAGGUGCGAAAGCGUGGGGAGCAAACAGG